UACAGAGGUGGCAAGCGUUGUUCGGAAUUACUGGGCGUAAAGGGCGCGUAGGCGGCCCACUAAGUCAGACGUGAAAUCCCCCGGCUUAACCUGGGAACUGCGUCUGAUACUGGAGGGCUUGAGUAUGGGAGAGGGAUGUAGAAUUCCAGGUGUAGCGGUGAAAUGCGUAGAUAUCGUAAGGAAGACCAGUGGCGAAGGCGGGUCUCUGGACAGUUCCUGACGCUGAGGCACGAAGGUCAGGGGAGCAAACGGG
rnacentral:rRNA from 1 species